rnacentral:lncRNA from 1 species
AUUUACGUAGGCCUGCUGCUCCUAGAUAUGGGGUGGGCAACGACUCAAAAGGAAAUGAUCAUAAACUAGCUAUUAAGCACUUAUUGGAACACUGGUGUCUUUCAUAGGAGGGAAAUCCUUCUUAAAUAAAACAUGGGACAACACAAACCCAUGAAAGUCUUUCUCAUGGCCACCUAUACUUUCAUCAUUUUAAAACCUUGUCUCCAUGCUGCUUUGUUGCUACCUGCCAACUUUUUUUUACUUUAAAAAAAAAACGUUUAAUCAAAAUCUUUACUUUACGCAUUUGCCAACGUCUUAAGUUUUUUAUUUUUUUCCUCGCUCUUCUUUUUUCAUUCAUAUUUUUCACCAUGGACGCUUUAUCUGGACAUGGUUCUACAGGACCUCCACCAGCCGAAGCUAUUCACACAGCUGUAACACAUAUGGACAAGAGGAACACCUAUGUAAGAAUGCUGUUCAUUGACUACAGUUCAGCAUUCAACGCUACGGUUCCCUUCAUGCUCAACACCAAGCUCAGAGCCCUGGGUCUGGACACAACCCUCUGCAACUGGAUCCUGGACUUCCUGACUGGCUGACCACAGGCUGUGAGGAUUGGCAACAACACCUUCUCCACACUGAUUGACGAACACAGGCACUAUGGUGCCAUUAAAGCAACCUCUCCCUCAAUGUCAGGAAAACAAAGGAGUUGGUUGUCGUAGCAACACACAUGCCCCACCCACUUGAGGAUCUGUCUUUUUCAGCCAUCUAUUUCCUGUGUUUGAGGGGUGCAAAAUUCACUUGUCACUUAAAUCUUGCUGGAUUGAUUGCUUUCAUUUUCUUCCUGCGAUUCUUUCAAACUCUUGCUUGUGCCUGUUGUGUUUUUCUCGUUAUUGUUACGACUGCGAAAAUGUUUGAAAUGACCUGUCAAACACACCCCAGUCAUGGCUGAAAUGGGAAAAAUGGAAAACAAUGUCUUUCCGUUGCAUCUAUAAGAACACGAAAGCUUCUUUGGAGAUUCAACACAUCAUCUUGACACAUACACUACCAUUCAAAAGUUUGGGGUCACUUAGAAAUGCCAUGCUGGCCUUCUAGGCAGAGUUCCUCUGUCCAGUGUCUGUGAUCUUUUGCCCAUCUUAAUCUUUUCUUUUUAUUGGCUAGUCUGAGAUAUGGCUUUUUCUUUGCAACUCUGCCUAGAAGGCCAGCGUCCCGGAGUCACCUCUUCACUGUUGAUGUUGAGACUGGUGUUUUGUGGGUAUUAUUUAAUGAAGCUUCCAGUUGAGGACUUGUGAGGCGUCUAUUUCUCAAACUAGACACUGUAAUGUACUUGUCCUCUUGCUCAGUUGUGCACUGGGGCUUCCCACUACUCUUUCUAUUCUGGUUAGAGCCAGUUUGCGCUGUUCUGUGAAGGGAGUAGUACAAGGCGUUGUACCAGAUCUUCAAUUUCUUUGCAAUUUCUCGCACGGAAUAUAGCCGUAAAUUGUUUCUGGCCAUUUUUAGCCUGUAAUCGAACCCACAAAUGCUGAUGCUCCAGACACUCAAUUAGUCUAAAGAAGGCCAGGUUUAUUGUUUCUUUAAUCAGAACAACAGUUUUCAGCUGUGCUAACAUAAUUGCAAAAGGGUUUUCUAAUGAUCAAUUAGCCUUUUAAAAUGAUAAACUUGGAUUAGCUGUCACGACUUCCGCCGAAGUCGGCUCCUCUCCUUGUUCGGGCGGCGUUCGGCGAUCGACGUCACCGGCUUUCUAGCCAUCGUCGCUCCAUUUUUCAUAUGUCCAUUUGUUACGUCUUGUUCCAUACACACCUGGUUUUCAUUCCCCAAUCAAUCUACAUGUAUUUAGUCCUCUGUUCCCCAUCAUGUCUUUGUGUGUAAUUGUUCAUUGUUAAUGGUGUAUGUUCACGGGCGAUACUUUUAUAGUUUAUGUUCCGUGUUUUUGGGCACUUAUGUCAUUUUUUGUGCCUAUUGUUGAAUGGAAUACAAUUGUGCCUGUUUACUCUACUCUGCUCUCCUGCACCUGACUUCGCCUCCCUUACACAGCCUUAACAUUAGCUAACACAACGUGACAUUGGAACACAGGAGUGAUGGUUGCUGAUAAUGGGCGUCUGUAUGCCUAUGUAGAUAUUCCAUAAAAUAUCUGCCGUUUCCAGCUACAAUAGUCAUUUACAACGUUAACAAUGUCUACACUGUAUUUCUGAUCAAUUUUAUUUUAUUGGAGAAAAAAAAUGUGCUUUUCUUUAAAAAACAUUGACAUUUCUAAUUGAACCCAAGCUUUUGAACGGUAGUGUAGUGUACAUCACAAGAAAGAGAAGAAAGAUAUCUUAAUUUUAAUGUGUGUUCAUUUUCGGUGGAAAAGUAAUAAUGUGGUACAGUUUAAAUGUUUACAAAUUAGAUGCACC